AAAANAAAAAAAAAAAAAAAAAAAAAAAAAAAAAAAAAAAAACCAGAUCGAUUUUGCUUUUCCAAUCUGUUGAUUCGACUGCUUCACCUCCAAUGCAGGUAAAGAUGACAACUCGAGCAGUGAAAACCGGUUUGUUCGCUGGAUUGACAAAGGACAUGUCGUCACCAUGAGCUUGCUCCUCGUCCCAAUUCUCGGAAAGGGUGAAGGAGAUGAAUUUGGUAAGAGAACUUGAAAAAGAUUUGAAGAUUGCAAAUGUUAUCUGCAAGGUGUCGGUUUCAUAUUCUUAACCUAAAUUUACAUAAAUGAUAGAGUGGAUUAGUUUUCUAUCUUAUUUGUUAUUGGUUUGAACUUAGUUUUGCCCCUUUUUGUCCUUUUGAGUGUUUCUUGCUGGAAUGGAAGAUGAAAUUUGGCUUCUUUUAUGAAUGAGGCUUCAAGAGAUUUUAUUGUACACACUCAUUCCAAAAAGAAACAAGCUCUUCUGGUAGAAUUCUCUAUGAUAUAUUACAGACACUUAUUUUCUGCUGGUCUGAUCUUUAGUUUAAUCUAUUUUCUUGAAAAAAGUCAUGUGUUAUAUAGUUUCCUUAUGAACUCCCAUCAAUAUAUUUAGAGGCUUGUGUAGAA